rnacentral:rRNA from 1 species
UUGGAGGGCAAGUCUGGUGCCAGCAGCCGCGGUAAUUCCAGCUCCAAUAGCGUAUAUUAAAGUUGUUGCAGUUAAAAAGCUCGUAGUUGAAUUUCGGAGUUUGUCGGUUGGUCGGGCUUCACUGUUCGCACUGGCCUGAUGGAUUCCUACCUUCUGAAUAACCAGCAUGCUAUUAAUUUAGUGUGUUGGGGAAGCAGAGCUAUUACCUUGAAAAAAUUAGAGUGCUUAAAGCAGGCUUACGCUUGAAUAGAUUAGCAUGGAAUAAUAAAAUAGGACGGCAUGAUUCUAUUUUGUUGGUUUCUAGGAUCACCGUAAUGAUUAAUAGGGAUAGUUGGGGGCAUUAGUAUUCAAUUGUCAGAGGUGAAAUUCUUGGAUUUAUUGAAGACUAACUUCUGCGAAAGCAUUUGCCAAGGAUGUUUUCAUUAAUCAAGAACGAAAGUUAGGGGAUCGAAGACGAUCAGAUACCGUCGUAGUCUUAACCAUAAACUAUGCCGACUAGGGAUCGGACGAUGUUAAUUUUUUAAUGACUCGUUCGGCGCCUUACGGGAAAC